rnacentral:rRNA from 1 species
UACGUAGGGGGCAAGCGUUGUCCGGAUUUAUUGGGCGUAAAGAGCGUGUAGGCGGCCAGGUAGGUCCGCUGUGAAAACCCGAGGCUCAACCUCGGGACGUCGGCGGAAACCAUCUGGCUAGAGUUCGGGAGAGGAGAGUGGAAUUCCCGGUGUAGCGGUGAAAUGCGCAGAUAUCGGGAGGAACACCAGUGGCGAAGGCGGGCACCUGGGCCAACACUGACGCUGAUGCGCGAAAGCUAGGGUAGCAAACGGG